CAGCUUAUUCUGUUAAAGGAGACCAUUCACAUUUAAAAUGAGAUUAUUCUUUAUAAGAAAGGUGGCUUAUCUGUCCUAGGGAGAGGUUCCUUACUCUCAUCAGAUAUCGCCCUGAAAGACACAACAAAGAAGCAUCUCUUUGGAGAUCUUCCUAAGGCAGCCACUAGCAAACCAUAAGAAAUUCCCCACAGCGGCGAUCUCAUGCUUCUCACAGCUCCACCAGCAGCGCCAGGGCCAUGCCCAGAAGGGUCUGGAAAGGCCCUGUCUCCUUGGGUGUGCCAUCCUGAACGAGCCCAGGGCAGGGCCUGGGUAAGAGACAGAAAAGUCACCAGCCUGGUACAGCCCUCUGGGUAUUAUCCGUUACUGGUUUUUCACGUUGGCAAGCAAGGUACAGGGAACUUCAGGGAUGAUUGGCUAAAGGACUGGGGUGCAGGCAGUGUCUUCCCGUCCCCUUCCAGCAGCUGGGAACAGUGCUGAAAGGAACAGCUUAAUUGUUUGUGGCUCAGAGGCUGGUGCCACUGGCAGACGGGGCUUCUCCAUCACGGGACGGCCUGCACAACACCAGGCCUGCCGGGUGCGACCCUCCUCAGAGGGGCAGGGGCUGCCUGCAGCCAGCUGGGCUGCUGGGCGCAGCUCGCGGCUACCGCGGCGCGAGGAAGGCCCGCUCAGCGGCUCGAGCCGCACCUCCAUGGCGGCGGCAGGCCUGAGGGGCGGCCCGGCCGCGGUCAGCUCGCCCAUCUGGCGGCAGCUCCAGAGCCGGAGGGACGGCGGUGGGACGGUUCGGCUCCGCCAGAGGGAGCCGGAGACCGCCAGCCCGCGGCUGAGGUGAAGAUCACAUGGUCUGUCGUCUCCGGAAUUAGUAACACCUGUGAGUGAGGCCUCCUGUGAGUUUCCUACUCCUGUUGCAGCUCUGGGAAGGGGACCAGCUUCCACAUCCUCAAGAAGUACCCGGGAGCAUACCAAAUUAUUUCCAGCACAAAUUGGCUACAAUCUCAUUGUGACGUUAAGGGAUUACUUCAAUUAGACUCUCUCUUUGCUGCUCCACUGACGACUGACUGCAGUAAGUACAGUAUGACAAAGAGAUGAUCAAUUCAUUUGUCUGGGCAUUUUAACUGUGUGCAUCACGCAUGCGGCGCUCAUGGGUGCUGUCAGUUAUUCCACUGGUGCAAUUCUUAAGGCUCUGGUAUAAAACCUCCAUUUUUAAUGACACCAUUAAUAUCAGUUUUCUUCCUUGGUGAGUCUUUGUACUGAAAUAGUCGUGGUAAGUUAUAAAAUAUGUUUUUACACCUUAGAGAUUUUUACACAGGUUGUAGCAUACUCACAGGAGGAACUGUGAUGACUGCAGCACAAACAGAGCAACACCACGAGCUGAACAUAAACAGGCUAUUGCAUUCAAGAGGCCAGCGGAUUGCUGAUGUUCCAAAAGAAGAAAGUCAUGCCAGAUUUGAACCUAUUCAUCACGUUCCAUGGAGUAGAUAAAAGGUACUGAGUAUUACUUUUGGGCUGUUAUCAUGGCACCAGGGCUCUGUUAGGGUGAUGCCUGCGCACUACUGAGGAGGAGCUCAGGUUCUCUCAGUUUACAGCUACAUCCCUUCUCUCUCAAGACACGAUACCGCUUCAAAACAGAAAUCAGAUGUAAUUAAGGGCAGACUGCCGUAACAACCUUUCCAGGCAAUUCUUAUUUUUCCUCAGAGCCUUGGC